rnacentral:rRNA from 1 species
UUGACCUCGGAUCAGGUAGGAAUACCCGCUGAACUUAAGCAUAUCAAUAAGCGGAGGAAUCC